rnacentral:rRNA from 1 species
UACGUAGGGUGCAGGCGUUAAUCGGAAUUACUGGGCGUAAAGCGUGCGCAGGCGGUCUGCUAAGAGAGAUGUGAAAUCCCCGGGCUUAACCUGGGAACUGCGUUUCUAACUGGCAGGCUUGAGUGUGGCAGAGGGGGGUGGAAUUCCACGUGUAGCAGUGAAAUGCGUAGAUAUCGGGAGGAACACCAGUGGCGAAGGCGACUUCCUGGCCCGUUCUUGACGCUGAGGCGCGAAAGCUAGGGGAGCAAACGGG